rnacentral:tRNA from 1 species
UGGGGGUUAGUGCAUACCAGCACGCGUAAAUUUGAGCUACGAAGUGGAAACGAAAUCUUCCACCCUCAU